rnacentral:rRNA from 1 species
AGGAGAGUUUGAUCCUGGCUCAGGAUGAACGCUAGCGGCAGGCUUAACACAUGCAAGUCGAGGGGCAGCGCGGGGUAGCAAUACCCUGGCGGCGACCGGCGAAAGGGUGAGUAACGCGUGAGCAACGUGCCCGUAUGUGGGGGAUAGUCGAUGGAAACGUCGCGUAAUACCCCGUAACACAUUUCCCCGCAUGAGGAGAUGUUGAAAGAUUUAUUGCAUACGGAUCGGCUCGCGUGCCAUUAGGUAGACGGCGGGGUAACGGCCCACCGUGCCGACGAUGGCUAGGGGUUCUGAGAGGAAGGUCCCCCACAUUGGAACUGAGACACGGUCCAGACUCCUACGGGAGGCAGCAGUGAGGAAUAUUGGACAAUGGCCGGAAGGCUGAUCCAGCCAUGCCGCGUGCGGGAGGACGGCCCUAUGGGUUGUAAACCGCUUUUGCGAGGGAGCAAUAAGGGCAACGUGUUGCCCGAUGAGAGUACCUCGCGAAUAAGCAUCGGCUAACUCCGUGCCAGCAGCCGCGGUAAUACGGAGGAUGCAAGCGUUAUCCGGAUUUAUUGGGUUUAAAGGGUGCGUAGGCGGUUUGCUAAGCGGGAGGUGAAAUGCCGGCGCUCAACGUCGGAAGUGCCUCCCGAACUGGUGGACUGGAAUGACUCUGCCGUGGGAGGAAUGUGUAGUGUAGCGGUGAAAUGCUUAGAGAUUACACAGAACACCGAUUGCGAAGGCAUCUCACGAAGGGUUGAUUGACGCUGAGGCACGAAAGCGUGGGGAUCAAACAGGAUUAGAUACCAAGGUAGUCCCCU